rnacentral:rRNA from 1 species
GACGAACCGUACGAACGUUAUUCGGAAUCACUGGGCUUAAAGGGUGCGUAGGCGGCGCGACAAGUUGGGUGUGAAAUCCCUCGGCUCAACCGAGGAACUGCGCCCAAAACUGCUGUGCUCGAGGGAGAUAGAGGUGAGCGGAACUUAGGGUGGAGCGGUGAAAUGCGUAGAGAUCGGAAGGAACACCAGUGGCGAAGGCGGCUACCUGGCCUAAUACUGACACUGAGGCACGAAAGCGUGGGGAGCAAACAGG